UCCGGAUAACGCAUAUUUGCUGGAAUGCUUUAUGCGUCAAAAGGAUUCGUCUGCCCAAGGAUGGGUCUGCGGCCUAUCAGGUAGUAGUGGGUGUAAUGUACCUACUAGCCAGCGACGGGUACGGGUUGUGAGAGCAAGAGCCCGGAGAUGGAUUCUGAGACAUGAAUCCAGGCCCUACGGGGCGCAGCAGGCGCGAAAACUUUACAAUGCGGGAAACCGUGAUAAGGGGACACCGAGUGCCAGCAUCAUAUGCUGGCUGUCCGGAUGUGUAAAAUACAUCCGUUAGCAAGGGCCGGGCAAGACCGGUGCCAGCCGCCGCGGUAACACCGGCGGCCCGAGUGGUGAUCGUGAUUAUUGGGUCUAAAGGGUCCGUAGCCGGUUUGGUCAGUCCUCCGGGAAAUCUGAUAGCUCAACUAUUAGGCUUUCGGGGGAUACUGCCAGACUUGGAACCGGGAGAGGUAAGAGGUACUACAGGGGUAGGAGUGAAAUCUUGUAAUCCCUGUGGGACCACCUGUGGCGAAGGCGUCUUACCAGAACGGGUUCGACGGUGAGGGACGAAAGCUGGGGGCACGAACCGGAUUAGAUACCCGGGUAGUCCCAGCCGUAAACGAUGCUCGCUAGGUGUCAGGCAUGGCGCGACCGUGUCUGGUGCCGCAGGGAAGCCGUGAAGCGAGCCACCUGGAAGUACGCC
rnacentral:rRNA from 1 species